CAGUGUGGAGCCUGAUGUAGGGCCUAAAUCCUCGAACUGUGAGAUCAUGACCUGAGCUGAAAUCAAGAGUUGCGCACUUAACUGACUAAGCCACCCAGGGGCUCCAGGAACUAAUAUUUUAGACAGCAAUAACAUGAAAGAUGGGAGAGGAUGAUUCAGAGUGAAAACAUUUUAAUAUCCUAAUAUUUUCUUGAUGGUAACCAUGCAGUGUUAAUGAUUUAAGAUAAAAGAAACAGAAUCUGUAAUUUCUUAGAUGGUUAGAGGAAACUAAGAUGAUAAAGAAAACAUGAUACUCACCAUCCCCCCACCCCCAUACACCAUCCAAAGGGCAGGAAAGGAAAGGCAUAAAUAGAAAAAAACACAAAAUAAGAAUGGUGGAAACGAAUUCAAAUAUAUUGGUAAUCACAGGCAAUGUAAAUAUUCAUGGGAUGGAAAAGCACAGAAGUCAAAACAAACGAACCAGAUCUGCCUGGGUACCAACAGCAGCCUCAGAAACAUUGUACUUGAUGCACAAUGUGUUAGGAUACACACAAUUUGGAACCACUUUGUAAAAUACAAAGUGACACAAAACAAUGUUAUUUAUUGUUUGUGGAUAUAAACACACGUAGCAGCACAGGGAAUGGAGUAAUGCACGCCAAUUUAGUGACGAUCUCAGGAGAAGAGGAGAGUGGAGGGAUGGGGGAAGGUGAGAGAGUGUCCCUAACUUGAUCUGCAAUUUAUUUUUCCUUAAAAGAACAAGUCCAAAGCAGUCACGAUAAAAAGCUAACGUGGGACAUGUGGGUUGUGGAAUGUGGGUGUCUGUUUUAUUAAUUUCUGGACUUCUCUAUAUAUUUAAAGUAAUCACUCAAAAAUAUGAACCCUCUAUAUUUUAUAUUUAAUUCCAUUUUUCUGAGGACAUAAGGAAGAAACAGUGCUGCUCUCCUGGAGCUCGUUUAGGCCCUGGGGGCGGUGACCGCUUCUCACCUUUGCUGGACUCUGGAUGUCUUACCGUACCUUGUUUGUUCCCUUGACCCUGCUGGAAACUCAGAGAACAGUACCUUUGUUAAAAUGCUUGCAUUUUAACCACCUGGGAAGACACAAGAAGACAUUGUGAAAAAUCAAAAACAAUUCGCUUUUGUUUUUGUUUAGUUUAUAGAACUUCUUUGCUGUGGAUGAAAAGAUUGAUAAGGUGACCUUCUCCAUGUCCCAGCCUAUUUGCACUAUCUGAGCACGUGUGGUGGACAACUUGAUGAAAAGAGAUCACGACUGACAUACACGGGGAGAAUUGCUCGUGUGCCAAAGAUCUUACAAUUCCUUGAAUGGUAUCAAUUGUGUUUUAUGAUUUCCUUGUUCAUCUACUUAAUUAAUUUUGAUUGAGUGGUGCUCUGCCCCAAGAAUUGUGCCAGGUAAUGGGGAUACAUUACACGCUUCAGUAGACAGGGCAAACCUGAGAUGGGGUAAAUUCUAACGGAAGCAGAGAGUGCUAUGCGGUACCCAGGAGGGUUAUCCACCCAAAUCCUGUACCGUAAGAUAUGGUUUCCCAAAGGAAGUAACAUCUAAUCUGAAACCUGAAAUUUAUGUACUAGUGAGCCAGAUUAUGGACAACAGCCGGUGGUAGGGAAUGAGUCUUAGUUUUAAGGUAUUCUGGGCAGAGAGAAAAACAACUUGGGCAAAGACCAGCAGGGGAUAAAAAGCAUUUGGGAAAUUAAAAGCAUACCUCUUGGGUUAAUGUAUGGAUUGCAGGAGAGGAGGAGAGUUGGGGCAGGAGAGGAAUGCAGAGGUCAGAUCACAAAAGGUCUUACAAGUAAGUUUAAGGAUAUGAGUGUUAUUAUGAGGUCAGUGAAAAGCUGUUAAAUCUUGUAAAGUGGGUGGUGUAUAGCAAAAUGAUAUUUGCAUUUAAGAAAGAUUUACCCUGAGGAUGAACUUGAGAUAAGUAAGUGAGAUAUCUUAGUAGGUUCUCUGGAGUAACCCAGGCCAGAGAUGAUGAGCUGGGUUUGAGACAGUGAGGCUGGACAGAGUGGCUGCAGCAGAAAGGAUGGCUCACGCGGGCCACCUGAACCCAUCCUGUCACAGUUAGGCAACUGCUGUCAUUAUAGCACAGCCCUGCAAAAUGCAAACUGUCCUCUCCUUGUUGGCCUUUAACCAGACUGUGAAUGCCCUGCAGGCAGGGAAUAUUUUGUGUCCAUCUCUGUGUCUCUAGGACCGCAGCGGUGCUCAGGGAAUGAAUGUUCUUGAAUAAGUGGAUCUCGGCAACAUCGUGUUUUUUGAUACAAUGGUUACCCUCAUGACUUCCAGACCCAACACUGUUAGGAGAGUUCUAUAAUGAUUGUGAAGUCAAUGUCUAGGGCUGUUUCAGAGGCACAUGAAGGCGUGAGUGCUUUAACUCAGUUCUCUGUGCAUAUUGAAACGUGCAGGCUGUUUUUCCCUGACUCAGUUCUCUUGUGCCAUCUGCUGGGAUGAGCAUUUCACAGCACACCAAAGCGAGAUGGCCAAUGAAGACAAGCCGGAAAGCUCCGUGGGAGUAGUAGCAGACAAAACCCUGGACAGCCUUACAAUUUAGCUGGAGAAACAAGUCUUGUGCCCACGCAGCAAUCCCUGUGCAGUGAACCUUCCCAAGAUGUCCUGGGGUGUUUUCCCCAGACAAAUAUCCCUUUCUACCGGUUUGCGUGCAGACGAUCUUAACUUUCUACAUUCUUCUUCAGCGUUUGCGACAACUUUACCAUACGAGACGUUAGUAUUGUUACAGGCUUUGAAAUGAGGAAAGAGAAGCAUGGAGAUUGAAAUAAAAUGCCAGCUCUGAGCUGGCCGGGUGGCCGGUCAGAAUAACUUUAAACAAGGAGCCGAGUCAGAACUGAAGCCUGUUUUACUCCCUGGUGCACACUGGACUCACAAAACAUCCCAGACAAAGUAAGACAGAGGUCAAGAGGGGGCAGAGACCCUCCCUCCUUUGUGACUCACCCUUUGACUGCGGGCCCAGCCAUGUGAUAUCCUUUGGCUAAUGGGAUGUUUGUAGACACGAUGCAGUCAGGGAUUAGAGGAUUGCUUGUGAGGUGGAAUCUGCUCUCUUGUACCUCUGCCGUCACCUGAUGAGCCUGCUGGUCUCCAGAGAAGGAUAAAAGAUGUGGGGCAAAGCUCUUCCAGUGGACUCCUAGACCCACAGAAGGAAGCAAAGCUAUCUAGCCAGACUGCGCCUAGGUCAGCUGAACUCCAGCUCAUUUGCAGUUUCCUCAACUGAUGAAAAGAAAUGCAUACCUUCUAAGUCGUGCUGUGAAGAGUAAAUAAGCUAAGGUAUACAAAGAGCUUCACACUCCUGAAUCAAAGAGGAUACAUAACAAAAGAGGUACUCCAAGAUUCCUGGAUACUAUCGUCUUCAGCAGAGAAAACCCGGAAAACCAUGGUGCUCAGGAUUUUUGACUGUCGUUGCUGGUCCUGCCACACGGUGUCGCUGUUGAGACAGACAACCUUGCCCCGCUUGCCAUCCUCCUGGCCCAAGCCCAGCGACCUUAGGGGAAAGAGGCAGGCACCUGUGUGGAACUAUGGAACGCAGUGAUCUGAGAACAGCUGCUGUACCCUAUUUCAGCAUCCUGGAGAGAUCACCUCUAUUUAGGUACCUGUGUUGGAAGCAAAGCUGUAGGACUAUCACGUGUGCAAGAGGCAACUUGACCCCCACACAUGCUGCCCGUGCCUGGGGCUCAGUCCUGCUGCCUCGCUUACUUCUCAGAUCUUUCAGAGAUACAUCCGGAAGCUCCGUGAUAGAUAGCUUCUUUGCAUGUGGAUGGUCACCACCUUGCUCAAGUAAUUAGCAUCUUCCCCCUGGCAGUAUUGACUAGCAGGUUCCUGCUACAAAGAUGCCCUUGUAGGAGAGCCGCUGUGCCAAAAAGUUGGAAAACCCAUCCUUCUGGGGGCACAUCUCUGCACAGAUGAAUUCCUUGGGCCCAGAUGCCUCUGUCCACACUCAUGCGAAUAGGCCGCAACCAGGAGACAGACAGCGCUGAAGAAAUGGUGGAUUCAUAUCAGCAGCUGACUCCUGUCACUACAGCCAGACCUCAGGUCUGGUCUUUAAAAGUAAAGAGGGUGCCUGCCGUGGGAAGGAUGCUCACAAAGAGAUACCCAACAUAAACUGUCUAAUCCAGAGAGCAAGUUGCCAGCUUAGAUGUACAAUAUGAGUCCAUUUUCGCUAUUUUUUCUUUUAUACUUUUCUAUUGCCUGAAUUUAUUUUAAUAACGUGUGUGCAUCACUUUUGUAUGUAGUAAAAAUGAUGAAGAUUAAAAAACAUACCCUAUUCUGCUGGCAUACUGGUCAGGAACAGAGCCUUCGGCUGAAGGAACAAGUAUGGGGAUACUGUGGGGACUGCUUUUGGAGAAAUUGGAAAACCUGUAUCAUCAAAAUAAUUUUCAAAGUGGUGAACACAGAACAAAAUCCAUAAGGAAAUGUAAAAGUAUGUCGUGAGCUGGCCCUUUCUUCCUUAAAAGGGUUCUAGAAAGAUCAAAACAAUAUCGAGUUGUUAAGUCCACCAUACCUUAUGGACAACAGCAGAAUCAGGUGAGAGCACAUAGCAUUUCUGCUUAUGUUGAGCCAAGAGUAAUUCCUUUGCCUCCUCUGCAGGUAGGGUUCCUUUUUCUGUUCUUCCUUUUGAUCAAGUGGCUGGUGACUAUAUCCUCUCCAUUUGAUUAUGCCUCCGUGAUGUGUAGCGUCUAAGUAGCAUCCAUUAUUCACCUAGGGAUUAGAAACCAAGGAAAUGAGAGAAAAUGAUAUUUAGCGGCUACUACAAUGUAUUGAGCAGUGACUCAAAAGUACUGUGAUGUUACUGCCCUGUGGCCUAAUGGCCUUGGCUCCAUGAAGGGUUAAGAGAAAAUCCAAAGAUGCUGGUCUUUUUAUCCCCCCAGUUCAUUUUUAAAAAUAGGCUUUAUUUUUUGUGAGCAGUUUUAGAUUCAUAGGAAAACAGAGGAAGGUCCAGAAAGUUCCCAUGUACUUUUACCCCCAUAUUUGCAUAGCUCCCCUAUUAUCAACAUCUCCCACCAGAGGUACAGUUGAUGAACUUACAUUGGACACAUUACUAUCACCCAAAGUCCAUAGUUUACAUUAGGGUUCACUCUGGGUGUUGGACAUUUCGUGGGUUUGGACGUGUGUAUAAUGAGAUGUAUCUACCACGAUAGUAUAUACAGAGUAGUUUCACAGCCCUAAGAAUCCUUUGUCCUCUGCCUUUUAUCCCAUCCUCCCCCUUAAGCCCUGGAAACCACUGAUACUUUUACUGUCUCCAUAUCUUUGCCUUUUCCAGGAUGUUGUAUUGUUGGAAUCAUGCAAUAAAUAGACCUUUUCAGA